CAAUAAGUUACUCAAGCGCGCAUAAAGGAUGCCUUGACAUAAGACACCGACGAAGGACGUAGUAGGCUGCGAUAAGCCUCGGGGAGCUGCCAACAAGCUUUGAACCGAGGAUGUCCGAAUGGGGAAACCUUCCGCCUGUAAUGUGGCGGAGCGCCUAGCUGAAUCUAUAGGCUGGGAAAGCGGUAAGCUGGGGAACUGAAACAUCUUAGUACCCAGAGGAAGAGAAAGUAAACAACGAUGCCGGUAGUAGUGGCGAGCGAACCCGGUACAGCCCAAACCUUAACCAUUUCCAUCUAUUUAUUUAGAUGGAUAAGUUGGUAGACGAAAAUGUUUAAGGGGUUGUGACAAGUAAUUAACCAGUGCCCAGUUCUGGAUCGCUGUACAGCGAUUUCCAGGUUUGGGUAUUGGAAACAGGUGCUACCAUCAGCCUGUAAAGGGUAAGAAAUUUCCGAGGCAAGCAGAACGAUCUGGAAAGGUCGGCCAUAGACUGUGAAAGCCAGGUAUGCCAAGCGUCGGAAACCCUUUUAUUACUUAGUCCGCCUAUGGCGGACGUGUCGAGUAGGACGGGACACGUGAAACCCUGUCUGAAACCGGAGGGUCCACCCUCCAAGGCUAAAUAUGUCUUAUGAUCGAUAGUGAACAAGUACCGUGAGGGAAAGGUUAAAAGAACCCCGGGUAGGGGA
rnacentral:rRNA from 1 species